rnacentral:rRNA from 1 species
GACAGAGGGGGCAAGCGUUGCUCGGAAUCACUGGGCGUAAAGGGCGCGUAGGCGGGAGGCCAAGUCGGUCGUGAAAUCUCCGGGCUCAACCCGGAGGAGUCGGCCGAAACUGGUUUUCUUGAGGGAGGCAGAGGAGUCUGGAAUUCCCGGUGUAGCGGUGAAAUGUGUAGAGAUCGGGAGGAACACCGGUGGCGAAGGCGGGACUCUGGGCCUACCCUGACGCUGAGGCGCGAAGGCGUGGGGAGCAAACGGG